GAUGAACGCUGGCGGCGUGCCUAAUACAUGCAAGUCGAGCGAACGGACGAGAAGCUUGCGUCUCUGAUGUUAGCGGCGGACGGGUGAGUAACACGUGGAUAACCUACCUAUAAGACUGGGAUAACUUCGGGAAACCGGAGCUAAUACCGGAUAAUAUUUUGAACCGCAUGGUUCAAAAGUGAAAGACGGUCUUGCUGUAACUUAUAGAUGGAUCCGCGCUGCAUUAGCUAGUUGGUAAGGUAACGGCUUACCAAGGCAACGAUGCAUAGCCGACCUGAGAGGGUGAUCGGCCACACUGGAACUGAGACACGGUCCAGACUCCUACGGGAGGCAGCAGUAGGGAAUCUUCCGCAAUGGGCGAAAGCCUGACGGAGCAACGCCGCGUGAGUGAUGAAGGUCUUCGGAUCGUAAAACUCUGUUAUUAGGGAAGAACAUAUGUGUAAGUAACUGUGCACAUCUUGACGGUACCUAAUCAGAAAGCCACGGCUAACUACGUG
rnacentral:rRNA from 1 species